UACGUAGGGACCGAGCGUUGUCCGGAAUCAUUGGGCGUAAAGAGCGUGUAGGCGGCUAUUUAAGUCCUGCGUGAAAUCCUGCGGCUCAACCGCAGACGGUCGUGGGAAACUGGAUGGCUAGAGUGCGGGAGAGGAGAGUGGAAUUCCCGGUGUAGCGGUGAAAUGCGCAGAUAUCGGGAGGAACACCAGUGGCGAAGGCGGGCAUCUGGGCCAACACUGACGCUGAGGCGCGAAAGCUAGGGGAGCAAACAGG
rnacentral:rRNA from 1 species